rnacentral:lncRNA from 13 species
GGGUUCAGAAGCCCCCUGCCUGACACUCGCCCUCACUGUCACCCAGAAAGGAAAUGCACUGUCAACUGGAGAACAGAGAGGUGCAGAACUCCAAGGCCCACAACCCCUCAGAGAGGGCCUGGCGGUAGGAGAGGCACCCACAAGCCGGUCAGGCCAGGCAGGGAAGGGCCGUCUGCCUAGAAGGCGCCCCAGCCUGUGAAGAUGGACUGGAGGGUGAUACCGCCGGAAUGUCCUGCCCAAGUUAGUAUCUGGCAGAAGCCAAAACCCACCACCUCCCAACCCUUGCCGGUCUCACCCCUCUCGCCUGGGGGAUGACCAAGGAACAGCCAGCCCGGGGCGGGAGCAGGGACAAGAUGACCUCAGGAAGCCCAGGGUGCGGGGGUGCUGGCGCCCUCCCCUCCCCCGGCCCACUCUGCAGGCGAGACCCCCAACCAACAUUGCUCCAUCGAUCCUCUCCGAGGCUCACAUCCCAAACACGUCUGCUCACCCGUGGGCCUCCGGCCCCUGACCUCAACCAGGACUGACCUCAAGUCCAGGUGUCAGCGACUGUCACCCGACCUGGUCCCCGGCCCGGCCUCGCCAGGUCUGCCCCGCCGCGCGCACAGCAGGGCCGGGUGGAAGGAGGCCGGGCCUGGCCGUGGCUCAGGCGCCACCUUUCUGGGGGGCUUGGGGGGUGGUCUCAGCCCCUCUCUGGGCUUGGGCCUCCCUAUCAGUCCCCCGGAGCCGGGGCAGGCCUGGUGACGCCCACCGCGGGCUCCAACCCCGCCCCCUCACAGGAGGCCCCGCCCGGCCCCGCCCCCUCACCGGAGGCCCCUCCCCGCCCCCGGCCGCGCGGGCUGCCUGGGAGUCGCGGGUCCAGCCGCGUUCAGAGCGCGCGAGGCUCCGGAGCUCAGCGAGGCUGCGGGCGCCUGCGUCCACCGGCGGACGGGCUGCUCUGGCUUGGGACCCCUAGGCA